CAACAGGGAUUGCCCCAGUAACGGCGAGUGAAGCGGCAAUAGCUCAAAUUUGAAAUCUGGCUCUUUCAGGGUCCGAGUUGUAAUUUGCAGAGGGCGCUUUGGUGUCGGCAGCGGCCUAAGUUCCUUGGAACAGGUCAUCAUAGAGGGUGAGAAUCCCGUAUGUGGCUGCUUGUCUUCACCGUGUAAAGCCCCUUCGAUGAGUCGAGUUGUUUGGGAAUGCAGCUCUAAAUGGGAGGUAAAUUUCUUCUAAAGCUAAAUAUUGGCCAGAGACCGAUAGCGCACAAGUAGAGUGAUCGAAAGAUGAAAAGCACUUUGGAAAGAGAGUCAAAAAGCACGUGAAAUUGUUGAAAGGGAAGCGCUUGCAGCCAGACGUGCCCGUAGUUGCUCAUCUGGGGAUUUCCCCAGUGCACUCUUCUAUGGGCAGGCCAGCAUCAGUUCGGGCGGUUGGAGAAAGACCUGUGUCACGUAGCUCUCUUCGGGGAGUGUUAUAGGGCAGGUGGAAUGCAACCAGCCUGGACUGAGGUCCGCGCAUCUGCUAGGAUGCUGGCGUAAUGGCUGUAAGCGGCCCGUCUUGAAACACGGACCAAGGAGUCUAACAUCUAUGCGAGUGUUUGGGUGUCAAGCCCGAGCGCGUAAUGAAAGUGAACGGAGGUGGGAACCCCUCGGGGUGCACCAUCGACCGAUCCUGAUGUCUUCGGAUGGAUUUGAGUAAGAGCAUAGCUGUUGGGACCCGAAAGAUGGUGAACUAUGCCUGAAUAGGGUGAAGCCAGAGGAAACUCUGGUGGAGGCUCGCAGCGGUUCUGACGUGCAAAUCGAUCGUCAAAUUUGGGCAUAGGGGCGAAAGACUAAUCGAAC
rnacentral:rRNA from 1 species